CACGUAGGAUCCGAGCGUUAUCCGAAUUCACUGGGCGUAAAGCGCGUGCAGGCGGUACGGUAAGUUGGAUGUGAAAUCUCCUGGCUCAACUGGGAGAGGACGUUCAAUACUGUCGAACUAGAGGGCGGUAGAGGGAGGUGGAAUUCCCGGUGUAGUGGUGAAAUGCGUAGAUAUCGGGAGGAACACCAGAGGCGAAGGCGGCCUCCUGGACCGCACCUGACGCUCAGACGCGAAAGCUAGGGGAGCGAACGGG
rnacentral:rRNA from 1 species